UGGAUGAAUCAUAAUAACGAAGCGAAUCGUAUAGCCAAGUUGCUGACGAUUUUUCAUUCAAAUUUCUGCCCUAUCAACUUUGGAUGGUAGUGUAGUGGACUACCAUGGUGAUGACGGGUGACGGGGAAUUAGGGUUCGAUUCCGGAGAGGGAGCCUGAGAGAUGGCUACCACUUCCAAGGAAGGCAGCAGGCGCGCAACUUACCCAAUCGCAAUUCGCGGAGGUAGUGACAAUAAAUAACAAUACGGUCUUUAAAAAGGAUUCGUAAUUGGAAUGAGUACAAUUUAAACCCCUUAACGAGGAACAAUUGGAGGGCAAGUCUGGUGCCAGCAGCCGCGGUAAUUCCAGCUCCAAUAGCGUAUAUUAAAGUUGUUGCAGUUAAAAAGCUCGUAGUUGGAUUUUGGAACAUAUAUAAUCGGAAGAUCGGUCUGCCGGGAUGGUGUGUACUGAACCGAAUGUUUCAAAUUAUUUUUCCAGUAUGCAGGAUUCUGCACUUAAGUGAGUGGAAUUCUAUUGCACUGGAUCGUUUACUUUGAAAAAAUUAGAGUGUUUAAAGCAGGCCCUUUGUUGCCUUGAAUACAUUAGCAUGGGAUAAUGGAAUAGGAUUGAGCUCCUAUUUUGUUGGUUUCUAGGGGAUUCAAUAAUGAUUAAUGGAGAUGGUUGGGGCACUUCAUAUUUAAUUGUCAGAGGUGAAAUUCUUGGAUUUAUGAAAGAUGAACGUAUGCGAAAGCGUUGUGCAAGGACGUUUUCAUCAAUCAAGAACGAAAGUUAAGGGAUCGAAGACGAUCAGAUACCGUCGUAGUCUUAACCAUAAACGAUGCCGACCAUGGAUUGGGAGACGUUACAUGGAUGACUCCCCCAGCACCUUAGGAGAAAUCAAAAGUCUUUGGGUUCCGGGGGGAGUAUGGUCGCAAGGCUGAAACUUAAAGGAAUUGACGGAAGGGCACCACCAGGAGUGGAGCCUGCGGCUUAAUUUGACCCAACACGGGAAAACUUACCAGGUCCAGACAUAGUAAGGAUUGACAGAUCGAUAGCUCUUUCUUGAUUCUAUGGGUGGUGGUGCAUGGUCGUUCUUAGUUGGUGGAGUGAUUUGUCUGGUUAAUUCCGAUAACGAACGAGACCUCAACCUACUAAAUAGUUUGAUGAACCUAUCUAAAUUAGGUGAAGAAGGAAAUUUCAAAAGGAAUCAAGUUUUGAAGAAAUUUGAAUUUGGUUUUUCUUUACUUCCUUUGGAUCCCUGAUUGUGUUUGUUAAUAAAAAACUUCUUAGAGGGACUAUUUGUUUUUAGCAAAUGGAAGUUUGAGGCAAUAACAGGUCUGUGAUGCCCUUAGAUGUCCUGGGCUGCACG
rnacentral:rRNA from 1 species